rnacentral:rRNA from 1 species
CUGUUUUUCAAAAACAUCGCUCCUUGUUAUAAAUAGAUGAGGAGUCGGACCUGCCCAGUGAAUUUUUUAACGGCCGCGGUACUCUGACCGUGCAAAGGUAGCAUAAUAAUUUGCCUUAUAAUUGAAGGCUGGUAUGAAUGGUUUGACGAGAAUAAAUCUGUCUCUUUGCAAUUUAAUAGAAAUUUAUUUAUAGGUGAAAAAGCCUAUAUAGGAUUAAAAGACAAGAAGACCCUAUCGAGCUUAAAAAAAUUCAGGAGGAGUGCCAAAUAGACUAAUUAAAGUUUUAAAAAGUUAAUCUACUGAAAAUUUUGGUUGGGGCGACUGAGGAACAGAAAAAACUUCCUUAAUUUAUGUGUAAGCUUUAUUAGCUUUGAUCCAGAAAUAUGCUGAUUAAUAAAAUUAGUUACCGUAGGGAUAACAGCAUUAUCUUUUUUGAGAGCUCUUAUCGAAAAAAAGGUUUGUGACCUCGAUGUUGGACCAGAAUAUCCUGAAGAUGCAGCAGUCUUCAAGGGUUGGUCUGUUCGACCAUUAAUAUUCUACGUGAUCUGAUUCCA